GCCCACAACAACUAACCUUCACACCUUCAAUUCGAGAAAGUGAGACCCUCACCUUCGCCAACCUUUCGCGCACAACAACCCUCACCUCUGCCAUUCUCACCUUUCAACACUCAUCACCUUCGCCUUCUCACCGUUGCCGUUAACUGUCGCCACCCAGUAACCAUUCACCGCCAGUCACCACUCACCACUCACCACUCACCGCCAGUCACUGCUCACCGUUCACCAUCGACACUCAUCACCUUUGCCAUGGGCACUGCUGCACUGACCAUUGCUCUUCUCCAGUAAUCAUCGCUGCGCCGUUCUCCAGUAAUCGUCGCUGCGCCGCUCUCACCAUCGUCAUCUCCGUGCUUCUCAUCAUCAUCUUCUCUGUGCUCACAUCAUUGAAUAGGGUACUUAUGUGGAGGGUAUAAAGGAAGAAGUUGUUUUAUCGCCAGGACAUGCUCUUUCUUUUAUUACUGCUGGAGAAGGUAUAACUGAUGAGUGAUGACAGAAUAUUUUCCUCCAUUUGUACUCAUGCUUUAAUUGUUGAUUCAGAAACUUAACAAACAUGUUUGAUGGCAGAGCAUCAUCAUGUUGGGUCAAACAAUUUUAAUCUGUUCAGCAGCGGAAGUCAUACGAUUUUUACACUUGUAAGAAUCUUAGUAUAUUAGUAUUAUAAUCUAGUAACAAAGCACUGGAUUAUACACCUGAUUCAAUUUUACUAAACGGAAAUAUAGCUUAACCACAACCUGAGGCUGGAUAUAUUGCACGAGUGAUUAUUUUAUAUGUACAUGCUGGUUAAACGUGUGAUCAUUGCUAGUUGUUAUAUUUUAUUGCUCUCUUGGACCUUGUCAUACCAACCAGCGAAGCCUCUCUCUUGGUGAGGAUGAUGUCAGUUCCUCAUUCAAUAGCAUGGAUAUGUUGUACCAUCCUUUUAAUAUUUAUCCUGAACUGCAAUAAUUUGAAGUCCUUGUUAUUCUCAGACAUUAAUGUUUGUCUAAAAUAAAGCCUUUUAUGAAGUGGACAAGUGUUUUCUCCUUACUGACACACUUUACAGUUUGCACCUACUAACAUCUUGAGCUUGUAGGCUAAUUAAGAUGUUGAGUCCUUAACUACAUGUAAAUAUAAUUUUAUCUUUUAGGAAAGUAUAUUCCUUCUAAAGAGCCUUUCAUUGUGGGAGUACUCUCCUCUGGAAGACUGGAAUAUGUUAACAUGAUUGUAAACCUAGCUUAUUGAUUCUUUUUUUUUCUCUCUUCAAUUCAGAAAUUUGAUACCCUUGUUGAUGGAUCUCUUUUGAUUGAAAAUGAGAAUAAAAAAGAGGGUUCCACAAUGUCAUCUCCCCGGAAUAUUUGAUUAGAGAUAAUUUUUAUUAUUUAAAGAAAUUAU